CCGGUUCCGUUCUCUGUCACAGGGGUGGGUUGACCCGCUUCCGGGGAGAGUGUCUGAAUAUUCUAAUCAGAACACAGAGACUUGUCGGAGCAGAGCCCUGAUUUCCUGGGCUGGGCGAAGCGUGUCUUAGCAGAGACAUCACAGUAAACUGGCUGGUUCUAAAUUAUAUUAUGCCUCACAGUCCCCUUAGCCCAGAUCACGUGCUUUCCUGCUUCCUAGUCUUCAAAGAUCAAGAAGCCUGCGGCUCAGUGUGAACACAGAGAGGGCGGCCGCCCCAGCUGCGUGUGGAAGAGGGAGGUAGGAGCACAUAUGGCUUCAUCCUCCCUGGGCCUGGGGGCGGGGGCGAGGCACCUCCAAUUAGAGCCCAUCCUGGAGGAGCGGUGUCACCUGUAUUCGAAGGCACACCAGCCCCUUGUCCAAGGAGCGAGAAGACAACAAACUCUGUGUGACAGUGACAAAUGGAGAAUGGGAGGUGUUGCCUUCCCCAGACCCAACUCCCCACCUCCGGGUGCAGGCAGAGCUGCUGAGAACCAAGUGCUGAUCAGACCUGCGCGGAGGCUAUGGCAGCAGCUGAGGGGUCCCCCAGUGCGCAGCUCCCCCAGGACGACAGGGCGGCCCCCUCAGUGCUCAGCUCCCCACCUGCAGACCGCAGUCCAGGACUUGCCACCUGCUCCUCACAGGCGUCCUGAGGAUUGAUAAGCAGCUGACAGCGGCAUUGCCGAGAGGCAUGGAGGAAAGACCAAGAACUGCUCUUAUUAAUCAAACAAAGGCACCUCCAGGGAAGCCACUGUGUUUGCAGAACUUCAGUCAGCUGAGAACUUGCUGGACUCCAUGUCAAGAAUUGAGAUCAAUCCACUAAUUGUUAAGAGACGGGCAGAGCCUUGAAAUAAAAAGAGGGUUUAACCCAC